UUUUACACCACUAAAAUUUAAUAUUUGAAAAUGUAUAAUAAUUAUUUAUUUUCAUUUGGUUUGAUUUGCAUUAUUCUCAAUUUUGAUUUUGUAAAUUCCACAGAUAAAGUUUCUAAGUUAAACUUAUUUUUAAAAAACCCUUUUUGGUUAAAAUUAAGAAAAAGUUUGCAUAUUAUUGAUGAAAGUCAUGGAGAAAUCGCCUUGGACCAAUUGAUUAAAGGAAUUACUAGAAGUGAUUUUGUUACAUCUGAAAAUCUAAACGAUAAAGCGAGACAGUUUUACUUGUUGCUAAGUUGCAAUCUUUUUAAGACAUUAGGAGAAUAUACAGAUUAUGUAAAAAUAAUGUGGACAGAAUGUAAAAAAUACCCUGGCACAAAAAUAGGUUGUAAGCAUUAUGUUAUAAGAGAAUUUAUUGCUUUCACAAACGUCAUUGCAGAUUGGCCGGUUGCAUUUUCUUCUUUUUCAAAUUACACUGAAAUGGAACUUAAAAAUAACAUAAAUUCUUAUGUAGACAUAGUGUAUUAUUUAGCUUCAUCAAAGAAACAUAGUGACAAAGAUUUAGAUGAAAAAUUUGAUGAAUUAGAUAAUAAUGUUCGAGAUUUUAUGAAUGAUCAUUGUAGACCAAAACCGCCAACUCCUUCUAUUAUAAUGGAUCACUACAAUAAAUACGUUAGAAAUAGGACCAUCAGAGAAAUAUUUGUGAAAGUCAGACCUCAUCUUAAUAAAACAAAAAUAUUACUUAUAGCUACUUUGUUGAAUCUUGAUUUCCUGCAUUCAAAAAAGUGUGCCUUAAUGGUAAAAUUUAAUUAUAAAGUUUGUGAAUUAGAAAAAUUUUUUAAAUACUUACAGUGGACAAAAUUUAGAAACGGCUUGCAUAUUAAUGAUGGAAAUAAUGGAGAAAUUACCAUGGACCAAUUGCUUGAUGGAUUUGGAACAAAGGAUUUUGUUACAUCUCAAAAUAAAAACGAUAAAGUCAGACAGUUUUAUUUGUUCUUGAGCUGUAAUUUCUAUAAGAUGUUAGAAGGAUAUACAGAUUUUUUAAGAGUAUUAUGGAUAGAAUGUAAAAAACAUACAGCAGAAAAACAAAAAUGUAAAAAACAACUAAUAAUGGAAUUUGAUUCUUUCACAAAUUUCAUUGAAGAUUGGCCGGCUGCAUUUUCUUCUUUCUCAAAUUACACUGAUAUGGAACUUAAAAAUAACAUUGAUGCAUUUGUUAUCAUUGUAUAUUAUUUAGCUUCAUCAAACAACAAGAAUGACAAUUUUAUAGACGAAAAAUUCGAUGAAUUAUAUAAUAUUGUUCGAGAUUAUAUGAAUAAUAACUGUAGACCAAUACAGCCAACUCCAUCGAAAAUUAUCGAAUGGUACAACGGCAUAGUUGAAAGAGGAAAGCCUAGAAACGAAAUAAUCAGAAAUAUCAAAUAUUGUCUUAAUACCAUAAAAAUAUCAAUAUUUGAAACUUUUCUGAAAUUUGGUUUCUGGCAUACAAUAAAGACUGUACCUAAAAUAAAGACAUUAGAUCUAUAAUAAUAACUCUUGAAUUUAAUUUCAAUUAUAUUGUUGCAUUCAUUUAUUUAUACUCUGGUUAGAAAGUCAGUCAGUAAAGUCAGGUUUAUAUACAAGAUGUCUGAUCAAGCCAUUUAAAUUUAAAAAUUGCUCAUAGUUUAAAUCUAAUUAAUGUAUAUCCAUUUCUAAUAAUUAUACUAUUUUGUUUUGAUUUUUAAGAAUAUAUAAUUAAUUGAAGAGUGUUAUAAAUUCUUAUAUAAUUUGUUUUAUUAAUUUGUUUGAUAUUUGUCACCAUUUCUACAAAUCAAUUGUCUUAUUUGUUAGUCUCAAAAGUAU